UUUAGAUCAGGGAGCUUAGAUGAAGCAGACGAUGAUGAUGACGCUGCUGCUGCUGCUGCCGAUGAUGAUGAUGUAGAUCUUUUGUUCUUCCUAGAACCUCCACCAACAGGAACAUUUCUAAGAGAUCCUCCUUCUGUCCAGUACCUUCUACAAGUCUUGCAGAAGUAUCUUGGUUGAGUAAGACUAUAAUUGUUGUAGUAACAAAAUUUGGUGUUGGUAGAAUUACAUCUUGGACAGUUCAAUUGCUCUUGAGGCCUUGCUUUUCUCUCUAACACAGGCCUAGUACAGGCAUUAGAUGAUAUUUCCUCCAUGGGUUUUACCAGUUUAAUAUCCUGCAAACCCU
rnacentral:misc_RNA from 1 species